UUAAGCGACUAAGCGUACACGGUGGAUGCCCUGGCAGUCAGAGGCGAUGAAGGACGUGCUAAUCUGCGAUAAGCGUCGGUAAGGUGAUAUGAACCGUUAUAACCGGCGAUUUCCGAAUGGGGAAACCCAGUGUGUUUCGACACACUAUCAUUAACUGAAUCCAUAGGUUAAUGAGGCGAACCGGGGGAACUGAAACAUCUAAGUACCCCGAGGAAAAGAAAUCAACCGAGAUUCCCCCAGUAGCGGCGAGCGAACGGGGAGCAGCCCAGAGCCUGAAUCAGUGUGUGUGUUAGUGGAAGCGUCUGGAAAGGCGCGCGAUACAGGGUGACAGCCCCGUACACAAAAAUGCACAUGCUGUGAGCUCGAUGAGUAGGGCGGGACACGUGGUAUCCUGUCUGAAUAUGGGGGGACCAUCCUCCAAGGCUAAAUACUCCUGACUGACCGAUAGUGAACCAGUACCGUGAGGGAAAGGCGAAAAGAACCCCGGCGAGGGGAGUGAAAAAGAACCUGAAACCGUGUACGUACAAGCAGUGGGAGCACGCUUAGGCGUGUGACUGCGUACCUUUUGUAUAAUGGGUCAGCGACUUAUAUUCUGUAGCAAGGUUAACCGAAUAGGGGAGCCGAAGGGAAACCGAGUCUUAACUGGGCGUUAAGUUGCAGGGUAUAGACCCGAAACCCGGUGAUCUAGCCAUGGGCAGGUUGAAGGUUGGGUAACACUAACUGGAGGACCGAACCGACUAAUGUUGAAAAAUUAGCGGAUGACUUGUGGCUGGGGGUGAAAGGCCAAUCAAACCGGGAGAUAGCUGGUUCUCCCCGAAAGCUAUUUAGGUAGCGCCUCGUGAAUUCAUCUCCGGGGGUAGAGCACUGUUUCGGCAAGGGGGUCAUCCCGACUUACCAACCCGAUGCAAACUGCGAAUACCGGAGAAUGUUAUCACGGGAGACACACGGCGGGUGCUAACGUCCGUCGUGAAGAGGGAAACAACCCAGACCGCCAGCUAAGGUCCCAAAGUCAUGGUUAAGUGGGAAACGAUGUGGGAAGGCCCAGACAGCCAGGAUGUUGGCUUAGAAGCAGCCAUCAUUUAAAGAAAGCGUAAUAGCUCACUGGUCGAGUCGGCCUGCGCGGAAGAUGUAACGGGGCUAAACCAUGCACCGAAGCUGCGGCAGCGACGCUGAUGCGUUGUUGGGUAGGGGAGCGUUCUGUAAGCCUGCGAAGGUGUGCUGUGAGGCAUGCUGGAGGUAUCAGAAGUGCGAAUGCUGACAUAAGUAACGAUAAAGCGGGUGAAAAGCCCGCUCGCCGGAAGACUAAGGGUUCCUGUCCAACGUUAAUCGGGGCAGGGUGAGUCGACCCCUAAGGCGAGGCCGAAAGGCGUAGUCGAUGGGAAACAGGUUAAUAUUCCUGUACUUGGUGUUACUGCGAAGGGGGGACGGAGAAGGCUAUGUUGGCCGGGCGACGGUUGUCCCGGUUUAAGCGUGUAGGCUGGUUUUCCAGGCAAAUCCGGAAAAUCAAGGCUGAGGCGUGAUGACGAGGCACUACGGUGCUGAAGCAACAAAUGCCCUGCUUCCAGGAAAAGCCUCUAAGCAUCAGGUAACAUCAAAUCGUACCCCAAACCGACACAGGUGGUCAGGUAGAGAAUACCAAGGCGCUUGAGAGAACUCGGGUGAAGGAACUAGGCAAAAUGGUGCCGUAACUUCGGGAGAAGGCACGCUGAUAUGUAGGUGAAGUCCCUCGCGGAUGGAGCUGAAAUCAGUCGAAGAUACCAGCUGGCUGCAACUGUUUAUUAAAAACACAGCACUGUGCAAACACGAAAGUGGACGUAUACGGUGUGACGCCUGCCCGGUGCCGGAAGGUUAAUUGAUGGGGUUAGCCGCAAGGCGAAGCUCUUGAUCGAAGCCCCGGUAAACGGCGGCCGUAACUAUAACGGUCCUAAGGUAGCGAAAUUCCUUGUCGGGUAAGUUCCGACCUGCACGAAUGGCGUAAUGAUGGCCAGGCUGUCUCCACCCGAGACUCAGUGAAAUUGAACUCGCUGUGAAGAUGCAGUGUACCCGCGGCAAGACGGAAAGACCCCGUGAACCUUUACUAUAGCUUGACACUGAACAUUGAGCCUUGAUGUGUAGGAUAGGUGGGAGGCUUUGAAGUGUGGACGCCAGUCUGCAUGGAGCCGACCUUGAAAUACCACCCUUUAAUGUUUGAUGUUCUAACGUUGACCCGUAAUCCGGGUUGCGGACAGUGUCUGGUGGGUAGUUUGACUGGGGCGGUCUCCUCCUAAAGAGUAACGGAGGAGCACGAAGGUUGGCUAAUCCUGGUCGGACAUCAGGAGGUUAGUGCAAUGGCAUAAGCCAGCUUGACUGCGAGCGUGACGGCGCGAGCAGGUGCGAAAGCAGGUCAUAGUGAUCCGGUGGUUCUGAAUGGAAGGGCCAUCGCUCAACGGAUAAAAGGUACUCCGGGGAUAACAGGCUGAUACCGCCCAAGAGUUCAUAUCGACGGCGGUGUUUGGCACCUCGAUGUCGGCUCAUCACAUCCUGGGGCUGAAGUAGGUCCCAAGGGUAUGGCUGUUCGCCAUUUAAAGUGGUACGCGAGCUGGGUUUAGAACGUCGUGAGACAGUUCGGUCCCUAUCUGCCGUGGGCGCUGGAGAACUGAGGGGGGCUGCUCCUAGUACGAGAGGACCGGAGUGGACGCAUCACUGGUGUUCGGGUUGUCAUGCCAAUGGCACUGCCCGGUAGCUAAAUGCGGAAGAGAUAAGUGCUGAAAGCAUCUAAGCACGAAACUUGCCCCGAGAUGAGUUCUCCCUGACUCCUUGAGAGUCCUGAAGGAACGUUGAAGACGACGACGUUGAUAGGCCGGGUGUGUAAGCGCAGCGAUGCGUUGAGCUAACCGGUACUAAUGAACCGUGAGGCUUAACCUU
rnacentral:rRNA from 1 species